GAUCCUGGCUCAUAUUGAACGCUGGCGGCAUGCCUUACACAUGCAAGUCGAACGGUAACAGGUCUUCGGACGCUGACGAGUGGCGAACGGGUGAGUAAUACAUCGGAACGUGCCCAGUCGUUGGGGAUAACUACUCGAAAGAGUAGCUAAUACCGCAUACGAUCUGAGGAUGAAAGCGGGGGACCUUCGGGCCUCGCGCGAUUGGAGCGGCCGAUGGCAGAUUAGGUAGUUGGUGGGAUAAAGCUU
rnacentral:rRNA from 1 species